rnacentral:rRNA from 1 species
AGAGUUUGAUCCUGGCUCAGGAUGAACGCUGACGGCGUGCCUAAUACAUGCAAGUCGAGCGAACGGACGAGAAGCUUGCUUCUCUGAUGUUAGCGGCGGACGGGUGAGUAACACGUGGAUAACCUACCUAUAAGACUGGGAUAACUUCGGGAAACCGGAGCUAAUACCGGAUAAUAUUUUGAACCGCAUGGUUCAAAAGUGAAAGACGGUCUUGCUGUCACUUAUAGAUGGAUCCGCGCUGCAUUAGCUAGUUGGUAAGGUAACGGCUUACCAAGGCAACGAUGCAUAGCCGACCUGAGAGGGUGAUCGGCCACACUGGAACUGAGACACGGUCCAGACUCCUACGGGAGGCAGCAGUAGGGAAUCUUCCGCAAUGGGCGAAAGCCUGACGGAGCAACGCCGCGUGAGUGAUGAAGGUCUUCGGAUCGUAAAACUCUGUUAUUAGGGAAGAACAUAUGUGUAAGUAACUGUGCACAUCUUGACGGUACCUAAUCAGAAAGCCACGGCUAACUACGUGCCAGCAGCCGCGGUAAUACGUAGGUGGCAAGCGUUAUCCGGAAUUAUUGGGCGUAAAGCGCGCGUAGGCGGUUUUUUAAGUCUGAUGUGAAAGCCCACGGCUCAACCGUGGAGGGUCAUUGGAAACUGGAAAACUUGAGUGCAGAAGAGGAAAGUGGAAUUCCAUGUGUAGCGGUGAAAUGCGCAGAGAUAUGGAGGAACACCAGUGGCGAAGGCGACUUUCUGGUCUGUAACUGACGCUGAUGUGCGAAAGCGUGGGGAUCAAACAGGAUUAGAUACCCUGGUAGUCCACGCCGUAAACGAUGAGUGCUAAGUGUUAGGGGGUUUCCGCCCCUUAGUGCUGCAGCUAACGCAUUAAGCACUCCGCCUGGGGAGUACGACCGCAAGGUUGAAACUCAAAGGAAUUGACGGGGACCCGCACAAGCGGUGGAGCAUGUGGUUUAAUUCGAAGCAACGCGAAGAACCUUACCAAAUCUUGACAUCCUUUGACAACUCUAGAGAUAGAGCCUUCCNCUUCGGGGGACAAAGUGACAGGUGGUGCAUGGUUGUCGUCAGCUCGUGUCGUGAGAUGUUGGGUUAAGUCCCGCAACGAGCGCAACCCUUAAGCUUAGUUGCCAUCAUUAAGUUGGGCACUCUAAGUUGACUGCCGGUGACAAACCGGAGGAAGGUGGGGAUGACGUCAAAUCAUCAUGCCCCUUAUGAUUUGGGCUACACACGUGCUACAAUGGACAAUACAAAGGGCAGCGAAACCGCGAGGUCAAGCAAAUCCCAUAAAGUUGUUCUCAGUUCGGAUUGUAGUCUGCAACUCGACUACAUGAAGCUGGAAUCGCUAGUAAUCGUAGAUCAGCAUGCUACGGUGAAUACGUUCCCGGGUCUUGUACACACCGCCCGUCACACCACGAGAGUUUGUAACACCCGAAGCCGGUGGAGUAACCUUUUAGGAGCUAGCCGUCGAAGGUGGGACAAAUGAUUGGGGUGAAGUCGUAACAAGGUAGCCGUAUCGGAAGGUGCGGCUGGAUCACCU